rnacentral:rRNA from 1 species
UUUUUAUGGAGAGUUUGAUCCUGGCUCAGGAUGAACGCUGGCGGCGUGCCUAAUACAUGCAAGUCGAGCGAACAGACGAGGAGCUUGCUCCUCUGACGUUAGCGGCGGACGGGUGAGUAACACGUGGAUAACCUACCUAUAAGACUGGGAUAACUUCGGGAAACCGGAGCUAAUACCGGAUAAUAUAUUGAACCGCAUGGUUCAAUAGUGAAAGACGGUUUUGCUGUCACUUAUAGAUGGAUCCGCGCCGCAUUAGCUAGUUGGUAAGGUAACGGCUUACCAAGGCAACGA